rnacentral:rRNA from 1 species
AACGAACGCUGGCGGCAUGCCUAACACAUGCAAGUCGAGCGAGACCUCCGGGACUAGGGGCGCACGGGUGCGUAACGCGAGGGAACCGGCCCUUAGGUUCGGAAUAACUCCCCGAAAGGGGUGCUAAUGCCGGACAGUGGCUUCUGACCAAAGAUUUAUUGCCUUUGGAUGGGCCCGCGUUGGAUUCGCUAGUUGGUAGGGUAAAAGCCUCCCAAGGGGACGAUCCGUAGCUGGUUUGGGAGGAUGGUCAGCCACUCUGGGAUGGAGACACGGCCCAGACUCCUACGCGAGGCAGCAGUGGGGAAUGUUGGACAAUGGGCGAAAGCCUGAUCCAGCACUGCCGCGUGAGUGAUGAAGGCAUUAGGGUUGUAAAGCUCUUUUACCCGGGAUGAUAAUGACGGUACCGGGAGAAUAAGCCCCGGCUAACUCCGUG